AUGAGGUCGGUAUAGAGUUGGUGGAGGGGUGCUGGAGAGUGGCAGAGUGGCAAGAGACUAUGGCCUGGUGACAGAGGACCUAGUAAACCAUGUCAAGAAGUUUGAACUUUAUCCUGAGGGCAAAGGGGAGCUCAUAAAGGGCUUUAAGGGAAAGAGUGGCACGGUGUGCUUAGAAUUUGGAAAGGUGGCUUGGCUGCUGCUUGGAAGUUGGGGAAGAGGAGAGACCAGAGAGAAGCUUGGACCAAGACCCCAGGGACUGCAUUUCUCCAAGGCCUCCACUCCUGUCCUGACCUUGCUUCUACAGUUCCAGCCAUCUCCCGGAGCACUAACACUGUUCCCUCUCUUGUUCCUUCAAGCCUUGGGGCGAUAACUGCUCCCCACUGUUUCUAGUCCCUGGGUGCCUCCAUAGUCCUUAAAGUUUCCCUCAGCCUGCCCAUGCCUCUGCAAAUACUUCCUUCAUUAAACUUGUCUCAGUAAA